AGCGAACGCUGGCGGCAGGCCUAACACAUGCAAGUCGAACGAACCUUUCGGGGUUAGUGGCGGACGGGUGAGUAACACGUGGGAACGUGCCUUUAGGUUCGGAAUAACUCAGGGAAACUUGUGCUAAUACCGAAUGUGCCCUUCGGGGGAAAGAUUAAUCGCCUUUAGAGCGGCCCGCGUCUGAUUAGCUAGUUGGUUGAGGUAAUGGCUCACCAAGGCGACGAUCAGUAGCUGGUCUGAGAGGAUGAUCAGCCACAUUGGGACUGAGACACGGCCCAAACUCCGACGGGAGGCAGCAGUGGGGAAUCUUGCGGAAUGGGCGAAAGCCUGACGCAGCCAUGCCGCGUGAAUGAUGAAGGUCUUAGGAUUGUAAAAUUCUUUCACCGGGGACGAUAAUGACGGUACCCGGAGAAGAAGCCCCGGCUAACUUCGUG
rnacentral:rRNA from 1 species